UGUUCAGUAACUCCUAUUCCUAUCACCCCAUGGUGCCACCUGGGAUACGAGUAACCGUAGGGAAGAUCGGGUGACCAACCCCGGUGGGACCUUGGUCGUAUGCUGAUAGGGAAGG
rnacentral:ribozyme from 1 species